rnacentral:ncRNA from 1 species
CUUAUGUAAAGGCAAACUGUAUGAAAGUGCAGGACGCAAAGCCACGUGUCUGAAGGUACGAUGUACGCAAGACGGACGAGCCGCCAUA